AGUAUUCCAGGGAGGUGAAGGGCUUGGUCUGAGCUGGUGACUUCAGAGGGAGGAGUCCCAGGAUCUGUGACAAGUCAAGGGACUUGGAGAUGAGGUCCAUUGUUUGAGUGUGAAGACAGGUCAGUUGAAGAAGCCACAUCAGGUCAGAAGAGGGAGGAGUCCCAAGCUCUACCAGGAGUCAAGGUUUCUAGGAAACAAACCAUCCAGGAAGACAGAAGCUCUCUGAGGCCCUACAGCACCACCCCCCACCCCCACAAAGAGCCUGU